GACGAACGCUGGCGGCGUGCUUAACACAUGCAAGUCGAGCGGUAAGGCCCUUUCGGGGGUACACGAGCGGCGAACGGGUGAGUAACACGUGGGUGACCUGCCCUCAGCUCUGGGAUAAGCCUGGGAAACCGGGUCUAAUACUGGAUAUGACUCCAUGACGCAUGUUGUGGGGUGAAAGCCUUGUGCGGCUGAGGAUGGGCCCGCGGCCUAUCAGCUUGUGGUGGGGUGANGGCCUACCAAGGCGACGACGGGUAGCCGGCCUGAGAGGGCGACCGGCCACACUGGGACUGAGACACGG
rnacentral:rRNA from 1 species